GUUUAAGUGGGCAGCUGCAUUUUGCAUCAGCAGAAUUACAGCCAUUUCUGUCAGUGGUUUUAAGGUGCACAGAGAGGUCAUUGUCUUCUAUAGAUUGGACUACUGUGAAGCCAAUGUUUCAUAACCAUAGCAAGGAAGCAACUGGAUGCCGGACUGCCUUAAAACAGCUGAGGAGAAAUGGAAGAAGCCAGAAUAAUGCUGACUGUGAUGCAGCUUCCGAGGAUGCACAGCCCCCUACUUUACACACAUCUAGCCCAUGAAAACUUUGCAGUGCUCCUAAGAUCAUUAAAACCAACUAAAACACCCACUUAAACACAGAUGAUUAUUAUUUUUUUUCCUAUCCUAGUCCAGGGAAAUAGUGAGAGGCAAUGAGGUUGGGGCCACUUAAACAUGAUGAUACUUAACCCAGAUCCUAUGAUCCAUCACUUAAGGCUAACUUGCUAAACUGAGGAGCCAAAGUCAUUCAGGGACCACCUUACUGCAAGGCAAGCAAGCCUUCUGCUGUCAGCAACCAUUGUUCCAAGACAGAAGGAAAAUACUUCAAGCACAUUUUCUUGCUUUUCAACAUCUGCAUUUUUGUACUCCUUUUGUUCCUGGAGAGGGGCACGGAAAAGGGAAAUUAAGAAAGCACUUCCCAAGGUAAGGGAGGUAAGAUAUUAGUGCCGUCACUUUGCACUUCCUAAACAAGCCUAUUUUAUUGUUGUUGUUCUUCAAACAAUCUUUGGGCAGGAGAUGACCUUUAUUAACUUAAGAACUAAUGCUUUUAAAAGUCUGAAAAUCUUGCUGCAAAAACAAAGGAAGUUUCAAAAACACAUUCCCCUAACAACACACUUUUGCUUAAAAAUAAAUAAAUACUUUCUCACGUCUUUUGGUAAAAUUGACACAGUCACCCUAUUCCUUUAAUAACCAAUUAUAUGCAACUUUUCACUAAGUUUGUGUAUGAAUGAAAUUUCUCCUCAUAAGAGAUCAGAAAAAGUAAAAUAAUUUACAUACACUUUUGUGUAUUUUCAGAUUCCUUUCAGAAACAAAGUCAAUGUGGAAUAGUGAAGAGCUGGGUUCAUUAGCUGCACAGCAAAAGACAAAGUCCUAUCUAAUGUGCACUGGCAGUGAAAAAUUGGAAGGGAUGAAGACAGUCACUGAACAUAAUCCUGAAGGCCACAGUAGAACCUUCUUUCUACCAUAACCUAAACAUGGUUCCAAUAACCAAGGGUAAGACAACAAUGUGCACAGAAAAGACUUCUGGACAAGAAGAUGCAUGUGAUGUAGCCUGAUGUUUAUAUCAUAUGAUUUUAACACCUUAAAAUGGGAAACUAAAGCUGCCCACAGGUCUCCUGAC